AGGGCGAGCGCCGAUUCCGUCUUUCGUCCGGGGUCUCUGCGCGGUCUGCAUUGUGACGGAUCUUUUGCCGGUGAGAUGAGUUGAAGGGCCGUGACCCCCGUGAGGCCGAGAGAGGAGAUGCAAUGAGUUGAGGGCCGUGAACCUUGACCCCGUGGAAAUGAAUGAGCAGGUUCAGACGCUCGGCCGUCCGGAUUGAAGAUAACGUCCGGAUUGAUGCAGCCGCUUGAAGGUUGCUGGCCACUGGGUGGCGCUCGCCGACUGCCCCAGCGACACUGAAGGAGGAGCCGUGUAGUUUGCACCAAGGCUGCCCCGUGUGGCCAAGUGUGGUAUAUGCGUCCAAACGCCCCCGUCACGAUUCACCAAACCGGUUAAAUUUGCAAAUCUUGGGGUUUGAUUCCUCCCCCCCCCACACUUUUUGUCUUUUGCCUCGGUGGCUUCAUCGCUCUGAACCGCAGGGGCUGGCAAUCCCCACCGCUCUCCACCGCGUGCGGUGGCUCUUUUAAGGGGGGCUGGCAUUGGUCAUCACCUCGCCACCGUCUCUUAUUCACCACGUGUGGGUUGCGGCUCUUUAAAAUAUCGAGUUUUGUACCGAAUUGGAGAAGCAAAUGGCGCGUCUUGUUAUUUUCGUUGCCCUGCUCUAAACGUAACGGUAAGUGCUGGCGGCGUUCCAAUCCAGGUGAGGCUAUUAAGAGGAUGUUUGUAAAGUGGUAUAGAGGGGGUCCAGCAUUAGCUGUAGUAGGGCAGCUUUAGGUAGACGAAUGAAGCGGCCACAGGCUGUACAAAUGAGAAAAACACGGCACGCACGAGACGGUGAAAACUAGACGAACAAUAAUCAAACCUUAACAUGGAAUCUUGACCAUACGCCAAAUCGGCCGUGGGUGGGGUGAAUCGUGACGCGCGUGUGCGCACCAUGGGGUAAGUAUUUGGCAUGUGACGCAAGUCUGGGGAUGGAUGUCAUUGUCGGGUGGAUUAGUUUGGUGGUUGGGGUUCGGUAAGUCUCGGCAGUGUUUGAGUGGGGGGGUGGGGGUAUUAGUGUGGUGUAAGGAGUGGGGGUCUGGGGGAGUGGGAACCUAGUUUUUGGGGGGCUCUCUGGUUUAUGAAAUGGUGUGUGAUCAAGUUGAGGGUAUUAGUGGCUGGUGAGUCGAUGCUGUUAGUAGUAAGCCGCCGGGUGCGUGUAGAUGGUAAUCAGGUGAUGGGCGAGUUGCUCGUCGGUGAUAUUGAAGCUGUUGGCGAAUCGUGGGUGCGAUACGAGGUAAGUGUAUGGGAGAGACAUCGGUAGGUGCCCUGUAGUCUGCUGGGUUGGUGACCCCUCCCCCCCCCCCCCCGUUACCCACGUGGUAUUUACCACGUGACAGUCUCCAUCGGUGCGGCGCUCGCGGUCUCCCUGCUGCUGUUGUAACGAGUUACACAAUAAAGCUUCCUGGGACCCCCG